ACUGCAUUCGAUACUGCCGCGCUUGAGGACUGGAGAGGAGACUGGAAUUUACGGUGUAGCGGUGAAAUGCGUAGAUAUCGUAAGGAAGACCAGUGGCGAAGGCGGGUCUCUGGACAGUUCCUGACGCUGAGGCACGAAGGCCAGGGGAGCAAACGGGAUUAGAUACCCCGGUAGUCCUGGCAGUAAACGGUGCACGUUUGGUGUGGGAGGAUUCGACCCCUUCUGCGCCGGAGCUAACGCGUUAAACGUGCCGCCUGGGGAGUACGGUCGCAAGAUUAAAACUCAAAGAAAUUGACGAGGGCCCGCACAAGCGGUGGAGUAUGUGGCUCAAUUCGAUGCAACGCGAAGAACCUUACCAGGCCUUGACAUGCAUCUCUAAGUUGGUGAAAGCCAGCGAGUCCCGAAAGGGAC
rnacentral:rRNA from 1 species